rnacentral:lncRNA from 1 species
UGUUUGAGGUAAUAAUAGAUGGAAGAAAAAUACUUAUGAAAUGUAUAUAUAUUGUAUACAACUGUAAAUUUAUUGGUUUUUCAGCUAGCAUUGGAUUUUGAUGAUCUUGCCAAUGUACCCUUCCAUGAUCGUUUUCUGGAAACAGUUAAUCACAAUUCUGUAAGAUUAAGGUAUGAUUUUGAUGAUAAGCGAAAAUUGAGUACAUAAUUCAUGUAAAACAUAACUAUAUUUCAAAUUUCAAUCAAUAGAGAUGAUACAAGUGGAGAGCUAAAAAACCAGUUUAUCCAUCUUCCUAUAGCGUUGCCGAAGAUUCCAGGUCGUUUAUAUUUACUUUUUGGGGAGCCAAUUAAAACACAAGGUACUCUUGCCAUAUGCAACAAUCCCUGUCUCCUCCCAAUAGCAACACCAUAUUGAUUUUUUGAACUUUUUUUUAAAAUUAUAUGAAGGGAGAGAAAACGAGCUUAAUUGCAAAGAAAAAGAAAAAGAAUUGUAUCUUAGUAUCAAAUCAGAGGUUGAAGGUUCUAUUGACUAUUUGAAAAAGAAGAGGGAAAAAGAUCCUUAUAGAAAUAUUUUGCCAAGACUAGUUUACAAAGCUACUCAUGGGUUUGAUACUGAAGUUCCUACCUUUGAUCCUUAAAAGGUAAUGCUGAUUUGAAUCACAUAUUCUCUUUGGAAUGUAUUUAUUGUCUUUGAACAAUGUAGAUCUUCUCUUCCAUGAUCAUUUUAGCAUUAUAUUUACAUUUAUAUGAUCCAUUAGAGGAAUUUAAAAAUUGUAAUGUAAUUUAAUUUAUUUUGAUAUUUUAAGGGCUAGGGUAUUUUUGUCAACACUUAAUACAAUCUCUUUCAUUUCUAUAGUUUAGUAAAGAUAGUUAGUUAAUUCAGUUAGUUAGUUGGUUUGUAAACACAUUUGAAUUUUUCAUUUUUUGUUAUACAUUUCACAGAGUUGAGUAAUUUGUCAUGGUAUUAGAGCUUUUACUCCUCUAGCAAAUUUGUAAGAAUUUUUUCCCCCCAAAAUAAUUCGUCAAACAGAAGUUCUUUCAAGUAGUGAUGACUUUCAAUACACCCGAAGAACAAUCGCAUAGGGUGUAUCAAAAUAAUUCCAGAUUCAGAUGGAAACGUUCUUCGAACACUCCCUAUUUGGUAAUUGGUAUGUCAGAUUUGUGAGAAAGUUGGACACUAGGCAAGGACUUGUCACAAGAUAGCCAAAGCCUUUGCAGCAAUGGUUAAUUGUUGGGUGCACUUGGCUUUAACAAACCAACAACUAAAAAAAACAAUGGUUGAAGGUUCUGCAUACAAUUUCUUCAUUUAAGUACUUAAGCAACUAAAAAGACUUUUUUUCUAAAAUAUUACUUGGAUAAAAAGUAAAAAAAAGGGGUGUAAAAUUUACAAAAAGUAAAAAUAAAAUAAAAAUAGUGAAGGAAUUUAAAAACAGUAAAUAAAAACGUACAUGGAAGUCCCAGUCUUCCAGACAAGUGACGACCAAACCAGACUCCCAGUGUAUCGUUAUAGUUGCUUCUCUGCCAUUGUGACGCUUCUUCUUAUAUUUUUAUUUGUGCAAAUUGAUUAUUUGUUUUAGACGGUGGCGGAGUUAGAAUAAUUUUGGCAGGGUGUAAAGAAUCGAUAUAUCUAAGGAUUCUAAGAUAACCAAUGUCAAAGAGCAUAUCAAUGUAUAAAGCAGAAUUUUCAGAAUGAAACAAAUUGAUCAAUGCAUAAAUAAUCAUAGAAUCAAUAUAUUCAUGAUUGAAAAGAAAAGUAUUUGAUUAGAGUUGAAUACUGUAGAAUUGAAAUUUUGGAAAUUAUAAAACAGAAUUAACAGAAAAGAACUAUCAAGAAGUUAAACGUGAAAGAAUGAGAAAUCUGGUUUACAACAGGUAAUGAGUGAUUACUGGAAUAAAAAGAACAGAUCAGAAGUUGUAGGUAAUGAAAUACAAUCGAAUAAAAAACAACUAUCAAGAAAUUCCUGGAAUAAAGAGAACAAAAUAGGAAUUGUAGUUUAUAAAAUACAAUUCAACGAAAUACAUAUUGAAUGAAAAACAGAAUUGGAGUCUACAGAAUGAAAUUAAAACUUGAAUUGAAAGAAACUGAUUUGGAUGGAUGUAAUUGAAUCAGAUGACCGGAAUUGAAGAAAAGAAAUGAAACCUGGAAUGAAAACAACACAGAAAAGGAAAGAUUACCUAAAAUGAAUUGAAGACGAAAUUGCACUGAGAUUGGUCGCAGAAAAUCAGAAAGGGAGAACUCGCAAAUUGAACUUUUCCCCGUAUCUUCCCACUGUUCGUUGUGUCCUUUUUAUAACCUUUCCCAUUCUGUUAUUAUUGGGCAGCUUAUUUGUAAUUUAUUCGGGCCAGCUUAUCCAUUUAUUUGGGUAACGAAUCCUUUUCUUUCACAAGGAGAACGGAAUUUUUUUUUUGCCAUUUCU